UGUUUCAUGUGAGAGGAGGAGCGCGGGAGCAUUGGUAAUGUAGUUCCCGGGUACCUACGCCCCCUUUCGACCCAAACCGCUAGCCAAACUGCAAACGACUACAUUUCCCGACCAAUCAUGCAUAAAUCCAGGAAGUCAGGUUCCUCAAGCUGGUCGCUUAUCGUUGCCAAGUUGCCAACAUAAAACAGAAUGGCAAAUGGGUUCUUUAGAUGUUUUGAAUGCAAUAAGGACGCGCACGAGCUUCGCAAAGAUUACAGUAAUGGGAUCUUGAAGAUAAUAAUAUGUGAAUCCUUCCAAAGGCCUGUGGACAAGUACAUUGAAUAUGAUCAGUCAUUAUUCUGAUUGGUGCCAUGUUAUGCUAAACUCAAGCCUUCACACACAUUCUGUUCAACAUUACAUUGAAUGUAUGUACAGUAAGACACUCAAAUAACGAUUCACCAGAGUCAGAUUACAGUGCAUGAUUUCAAAAAUGGAUGAGACUUGAUGCAUGUUGCGUUGCAUUUUCAUUUUCUCUGCAGAGAGACACAAGACAUGAUGGUAUGUCUUAUUGAUGGUUUCCUCUAUAGAUUCACUAGAAGCUGUGUGUGUUUUGCCUGCUGUGUGAGUUCUACCUGAGGUGGUCACAAAUGCAGGGAUUUGAACAGAACAAUGACCCUGCAGACAUCAUUAGAUACACCAACGAAUGGGAAUGUUUGGGAUGGCAGCUCUUGGUGUAUUGCUCAUGGAAAAAGCACAUUAUUACUAUAACAACUCAUGCACUCAUCAACAAACAUGCAUAUGACAAUGUUAAUAUCAAUGUUAUAACAAUGUUUCCAAGUGUGGUUGAAGUGACAAAUUCUGCUUUCUUUUCACAAUGAUUCCAUACAAAUUACAGUCUUCUGCUGGUUGGUACUGAUUUCAUGUUCAUUUGUCUACAGAAUUGGGUGCGUUCUCUGUCGGAGUGCUGUCCUUCCUUUAGCUGGUUUAGAUGCUGCUUGGCUAGGACUUUGAACUGAGCUUAAUGCUGAAAACCAUCCUGCUGUCCAGCUAUGGCAACAUUCUGCUCAUCCCUAUAGUCAUAUGGGAGCAUGACUAUUCCCCGCUCUGUUUCAACCUCAUCAAACUGUUUGUGCUCACGUCCAACUCUCAGGCUAUUAGAGGUACAUUAGCCAACUCCUCCCUCAGUGUACCAAUUCUCCCAUUAGAGUCACUCACAUUUAGCGCCAUCUCAGUUCCUGUUAAUUCAGCGAAUUAAUUGGGUAGAAAAUUGAUUGAAAAGUUCUCAUAACUCAUUAUUGAUACUAGUAAAUAACCUACUUCACACAUCGAGCCCCAUAUCUAUCUACUUUUCACAUCAGUCAUGUUUUAUUAAAAUAGAAACCAUCAGCUCACAGGGUAAUGAUUAGGAGCAGGAACAUUGAUGUGCACCAGCAGAUGGCAGCUCAUACACCUAGCUUGAAAAUCCAUGUUCGAACAUGAAUUCUGUUAUUCUCUAGAGUUACUAAAUAGUUAUAAAUGGUCCCAAAAUUGUCCAAAACGAAUCCAUUCAUUCACUAAAACUGCAUUACCAUUAUACUUUGUUUUUUUCACCCAACAAUCAGGCCCACAAAGCAAGCAUUAGUCUCUGUGUGGCCCUUGUGGUUUUUCACAAUACACAGGGUAAUGGCCCUUGUCGUGCUGCUGGUCAAGUUUUUGCAUUUCUGCCUGCGGCUAUGGAACCCUGACCUCUUCAACAGUUGUGCUACCUUGUCCUGGAGCUGCGGUUUCCACCCCCCCUCUCAACCUCUAAAUGCUCGGCUAUGUCAUUCUAUACUGCAGCAGAAGGCUCUCCCCGCUGGCUGUGUGUGUGGGUCUGCUAUUGGAGACGUGCAUAGCCCAGGCAUUUCAGACACUUCCAUGGAGUAUACCGGACAUCCUGCCGUUCCAGUGACCUGUUUCAGGCCGGUCCUAAAGAACACACUGUUACAAUGGCGCCUAUUAUACCCGGGACCAGAGAGCGGAGGACCUGAGCCCUAAGACCAUGCCUCAGGACUACCUGGCAUGAUGACUCCUUGCUGUCCCCAGUC